AAAAUAUUGCCACGCAUUUUUCAGAUGUUUAGCAAAUAACAAACACAUAAGAAAGUGUUACAUGAAGGAGGAAACAGUGGGCUAAAUUAGUUGCAGCAAUUAGAGUUCAGGCCAAGAAAUCAGAGUUAUAGUUCUUCAAGACAGAUUUCCAAAAGAAGAACUGAUAGAAUGAAAAGCAGACACUAUUGAGCAGAUAUUGCAGAGACAGAGCUGAUUAAAGAAGUGGCGAUAAAGCAGAAAUUCAGAUCCUGUCUAGGCUGGAAGACUCUGAUGCCUGGAUAAUGAGUGUUAUGUUGACAACACAAGAGCCAAGAAGGUAAAAGUUGAUCUAAAAAACAGGGAAGG